GACGACGCUGGCGGCGUGCCUAAUACAUGCAAGUCGAACGAGUGGCGGACGGGUGAGUAAUGUCUGGGAAACUGCCUGAUGGAGGGGGAUAACUACUGGAAACGGUAGCUAAUACCGCAUACCAUCGGAUGUGCCCAGAUGGGAUUAGCUAGUAGGUGGGGUAAAGGCUCACCUAGGCGACGAUCCCUAGCUGGUCUGAGAGGAUGACCAGCCACACUGGAACUGAGACACGGUCCAGACUCCUACGGGAGGCAGCAGUGGGGAAUUUGGGACAAUGGGGGAAACCCUGAUCCAGCCAUCCCGCGUGUGCGAUGAAGGCCUUCGGGUUGUAAAGCACUUUUGGCAGGAAAGCGGUACCUGCAGAAUAAGCACCGGCUAACUACGUGCCAGCAGCCGCGGUAAUUC
rnacentral:rRNA from 1 species